GACGAACCGUGCGAACGUUAUUCGGAAUCACUGGGCUUGAAGGGCGCGUAGGCGGGCAUCAAAGUCAGGGGUGAAAUCCCGCGGCUCAACCGCGGAAGUGCCUCUGAUACUGGGUGCCUAGAGGGGUGCAGGGGCAUGCGGAACUAAGGGUGGAGCGGUGAAAUGCGUAGAUAUCCUUAGGAACACCGGUGGCGAAAGCGGCGUGCUGGACACCUACUGACGCUGAGGCGCGAAAGCCAGGGGAGCAAACGGG
rnacentral:rRNA from 1 species